rnacentral:rRNA from 1 species
GAGGAACGCUGGCGGCGGGCCUAAUACAUACAAGUCGAGCGAACAGACGAGUAGCUUGCUCCUCUGACGUUAGCGGCGGACGGGUGAGUAACACGUGGAUAACCUACCUAUAAGACUUGGAUCACUGCGUGAAACCGGAGCUAAUACCGGAUAAUAUAUUGAACGGCAUGGUUGAAUAGUGAAAGACGGUUUUGCUGUCACUUAUAGAUGGAUCCGCGCCGCAUUACCUAGGUGGUAAGGUAACGGCUUACCAAGGCAACGAUGCGUAGCCGACCUGGGAUGGUCUUCAGCCACCCUGUAACUGAGACACGGCCCAGACGCCUAAGGGAGGCAGCCGUAGUGUAUCGUGCCCAAUGGGGGCAGGAGUGACGGAGCAACCCCGCGCGAUUGAUGAGGGUCUUCGGAUCGCAAUACACUGUUAUUAGGGAACAACACCUGUGUAAGUAACUAUGAACGUCUUGCCGGCACCCUGCGAGAAAGCCACGGCUAACUUCGUG